AUGAGCUUUAGAAAGUUGUUGACGGAUUUUCCAAAAUGUGUGUUCGGGGAGGCUAAUCUAAACACAAUAGUUGGAAGAUGCAUUUCUGAACUAGUACAGAUUAAAGAUCAAGUUUUGAAGCUUUUUUCUUGUGUUUCCAACUCAUCCAAAGUCAUUCAAGCAAUUGCGAUCAAUAUCAAAGCACAUACACUCUACACCCAAUCCAUCACAUUUAAAAGACAAUAG